rnacentral:misc_RNA from 1 species
GCCAUCAGCUGCAUGCCUUGGGCUUUAUAGAUGUGGAGAGUAUUGAUUUAGAUUCCCCGUUAGCAGAUAAUCUAAUGAAACUCUAUGAAGAAAUGGGCGACAUACUUGCAUUACAAUACGGAGGGUCUGCUGCACAUAACAAGAUAUUUUCAGAGAGACGAGGCCAAUGGAGAGCAGCAACUCAGUCUCAAGAGCUUUUUAGAACGCUUCAGCGCUAUUACAGUAAUGCCUACAUGGAUGCUGAGAAACAGGAUGCCAUUAAUGUGUUUUUGGGACAUUUCCGCCCUCAAGAAGGUAAGCCAGCUCUUUGGGAAUUGGAUUCAGACCAGCACUAUAGUGUUGGGGGGCACGCAUCAAGUUUAGCAAUGGAGAGUUCUAGGUCAUUUAUUAAAAGGUCGCUGUCAGAAGGAAAUUUGAUCUGUGGAAGCAACUCUCCUGUCAAAGAAACUGACACAGAGCAGACCGAUGACUCUGACCAACCUUUGCCUGAGAGUGCAAAAGGUGGUAGUAAGGGUCUUUCCGAGUCCACCCCAGAAAUCUCUACUUGUGAAACUGAUAUUUCAUUUGCCAGGUACACACCCUCGAUGUCUGGUAGACAA